AGCGGACGCUGGCGGCAGGCCUAACACAUGCAAGUCGAGCGCCGUAGCAAUACGGAGCGGCAGACGGGAGAGUAACACGUGGGAACGUGCCCUUCAGUUCGGAACAACCCAGGGAAACUUGGGCUAAUACCGGAUAAGCCCUUACGGGGAAAGAUUUAUCGCUGAAGGAGCGGCCCGCGUCUGAUUAGCUUGUUGGUGAGGUAACGGCUCACCAAGGCGACGAUCAGUAGCUGGUCGAGAGGAUGAUCAGCCUCACUGGGACUGAGACACGGCCCAGACUCCUACGGGAGGCAGCAGUGGGGAAUAUUGGACAAUGGGCGCAAGCCUGAUCCAGCCAUGCCGCGUGGAUGAUGAAGGCCCUAGGGUUGUAAAGUCCUUUCGGCGGGGAAGAUAAUGACGGUACCCGCAGAAGAAGCCCCGGCUAACUUCGUGCCAGCAGCCGCCGCUGUAAC
rnacentral:rRNA from 1 species